rnacentral:lncRNA from 1 species
AGAAACUUGAAAUUUCUUUAACAUAUUAGUUGUAAGUUCUAUAGAAAGUUCUUUUAGGAAAGAAAAAAUAACCAUUCCAAGAAACUUCUUUUCUGUUUUUCCUGUUAUAGUGAGCUGCAUAGUUCUCCUAAGCAAGGAGAUGGUCUUCAUCCUCCUUACCACUUCCACCCUUGCCUACCCCAGUGACUGUCUGACAAGACCUAAUAUCAGAUUCAUCAGUUAGUAAGAAUCCCGAUUCUACGCAAAGAAAUUGAAUUGAUUCUGUUUUUUUCAAGAGAUGAAAUUGCUUCUUGUGGCUAUGAAGGUCCAUUAAUGAACAUAAGUUGAAGGACCAUGGAAAGGAGUAUAUCUCUUACAUAUUCACAGAAGAUUAUGCCAAG